rnacentral:rRNA from 1 species
GGGAUAACAUUCUGAAAAGAAUGCUAAUACCGCAUGACAUAUCGGAACCACAUGGUUCUGAUAUCAAAGAUUUUAUCGCUUGAAGAUGGACUCGCGUCCGAUUAGUUAGUUGGUGAGGUAACGGCUCACCAAGACCGCGAUCGGUAGCCGGACUGAGAGGUUGAACGGCCACAUUGGGACUGAGACACGGCCCAGACUCCUACGGGAGGCAGCAGUGGGGGAUAUUGCGCAAUGGGGGCAACCCUGACGCAGCAACGCCGCGUGAAGGAUGAAGGUUUUCGGAUUGUAAACUUCUUUUAUUAAGGACGAAAAAUGACGGUACUUAAUGAAUAAGCUCCGGCUAACUACGUGCCAGCAGCCGCGGUAAUACGUAGGGAGCAAGCGUUGUCCGGAUUUACUGGGUGUAAAGGGUGCGUAGGCGGCUUUGCAAGUCAGAUGUGAAAUCUAUGGGCUCAACCCAUAAACUGCAUUUGAAACUGUAGAGCUUGAGUGAAGUAGAGGCAGGCGGAAUUCCCCGUGUAGCGGUGAAAUGCGUAGAGAUGGGGAGGAACACCAGUGGCGAAGGCGGCCCGCUGGGCUUUAACUGACGCUGAGGCACGAAAGCGUGGGUAGCAAACAGGAUUAGAUACCCUGGUAGUCCACGCUGUAAACGAUGAAUACGAGGUGUGGGGGGUCUGACCCCUUCCGUGCCGGAG